rnacentral:lncRNA from 1 species
UGCAGAAACCAGACAGAGAGCCUGGGUGGAUAUGCUAUUGGCUGCCUAGGUCGGACUGCCUCCAACCUGAGGUGGUCUUGGAGUGAUCUAACGUUAGAAUGAAUGGUUACGCUAGGAAUCAGACAAAGACUGGAGGUGAACAGUUUGGUAAAGUGAAGUCAAAAUGGAAAUCGUGCUGGCAGUCAUGAGGAACAAGGCCAAAUAUUGGGUCCAUCCAUGGCCAGGAGACAGAGACUGAGAUAUCUGAGCAACUGCUUUCACAUAGGGCAUCCUGCUUCUGGACAUGGGGAAGCCAGAGAAGGAGGUUGAGGGGGAGCGUCAAGCUGUUCCCGAGGCACCAUUGACAUCCAGGGUAGAUGGGAUCUACCGGUAGUUGAUUGUGUAGGACACCAAGAUGAAACCCAGCAUAAGAGAAGAAAGAGAAGGUGCCCUUCCUGUUUUGACCAGCACACCGAGUACCAGGAGCAUGGAUCUGCUGCAAGUUCAACAGGAGACACUCAGAAUGCAGCAAGCUUUGCUGCAAAUAUUUUACAUAAAAAAUCAUCCAUGAUGAUUUUAAAAUUAUCCACAAUUGUUUGCAGCAGUGUUUUAAUGAAAAUCAGAAGUAAUGUUGAACAAUUCAACUUCAUUUUUUUUCGUAUUUUACUACUGAUGUCCAUUAACAUCUACAAUAAAUAUUACCCGUGUUCUUAGCAAAUCUUGCUGACUUUUAAAGAAGGCAUCAACUACUUAUUGGUGCAUAUACUCCACAUUUUUAUGAUGUUCCCUUGGUUUCCUGCUGAAAAGCUCAAUGCAGCUUUAACUUAAGCAAAAUAUGAACAAAAAUCUUUAUUUGUAGAAAUUCAUACAGCAAUAUCUAUAUUACGGAGAUUGGGCAAGAUUGUUUCAUUGACAGUUACUGAUUAAAAUAAUUAAUUUCAUGUUAUUUAUGAUAGUGUCUCGAACAAUUUCCAUUGAAAAUGAAAUAAAUGAAAUGU